GUAAUGUCUGGGAAACUGCCUGAUGGAGGGGGAUAACUACUGGAAACGGUGGCUAAUACCGCAUAACGUCGCAAGACCAAAGAGGGGGACCUUCGGGCCUCUUGCCAUCAGAUGUGCCCAGAUGGGAUUAGCUUGUUGGUGAGGUAACGGCUCACCAAGGCGACGAUCCCUAGCUGGUCUGAGAGGAUGACCAGCCACACUGGAACUGAGACACGGUCCAGACUCCUACGGGAGGCAGCAGUGGGGAAUAUUGCACAAUGGGCGCAAGCCUGAUGCAGCCAUGCCGCGUGUAUGAAGAAGGCCUUCGGGUUGUAAAGUACUUUCAGCGGGGAGGAAGGUGUUGUGGUUAAUAACCGCAGCAAUUGACGUUACCCGCAGAAGAAGCACCGGCUAACUCCGUGCCAGCAGCCGCGGUAAUACGGAGGGUGCAAGCGUUAAUCGGAAUUACUGGGCGUAAAGCGCACGCAGGCGGUCUGUCAAGUCGGAUGUGAAAUCCCCGGGCUCAACCUGGGAACUGCAUUCGAAACUGGCAGGCUUGAGUC
rnacentral:rRNA from 1 species